GACGAACGCUGGCGGCGUGCUUAACACAUGCAAGUCGAACGGUGAAGCGCCUUCCUUUUUGGUGGGUGUGGAUGAGUGGCGAACGGGUGAGUAACACGUGAGUAACCUGCCCCCUUCUUCUGGUUAACCGCAUGAAAGUGUGGCUAAUACGGGAUAUUCUGGGUCUGUCGCAUGAUGGGUCUGGGAAAGAUAUUGUUUCGGUGGGGGAUGGGCUCGCGGCCUAUCAGCUUGUUGGUGGGGUGAUGGCCUACCAAGGCGGUGACGGGUAGCCGGCCUGAGAGGGUGGACGGUCACACUGGGACUGAGACACGGCCAAGACUCCUACGGGAGGCAGCAGUGGGGAAUAUUGCACAAUGGGCGCAAGCCUGAUGCAGCGACGCCGCGUGAGGGAUGGAGGCCUUCGGGUUGUGAACCUCUUUCGCCAGUGAAGCAGGCCUGCCUCGUUUGUGGGUGGGUUGACGGUAGCUGGAUAAGAAGCGCCGGCUAACUACGUG
rnacentral:rRNA from 1 species